GAUGAAGAACGUAGCAAAAUGCGAUAAGUAAUGUGAAUUGCAGAAUUCAGUGAAUCAUCGAAUCUUUGAACGCACCUUGCGCUCUUUGGUAUUCCGAAGAGCAUGCCUGUUUGAGUGUCAUGAAAAUAUCAACCUUGACUUGGGUUUUGUGCUCUAGUCUCGGCUUGGAAUUGGGUGCUUGCCGCUUUUACGAGCGGCUCACCUUAAAUGUAUUAGCUGGAUCUGUCUUUGAGACUUGGUUUGACUUGGCGUAAUAAGUAUUUCGCUAAGGACAUUCUUCGGAGUGGCCUCGUUUCUAGGACGCUUGUCCGCUUUCCAAUACAAGUUCCACCUCGUGGACAUGACUUUUUAUUAUCUGGCCUCAAAUCAGGUAGGACUACCCGCUGAACUUAAGCAUAUCAAUAAGCGGAGGA
rnacentral:misc_RNA from 1 species